UACAGAGGUCUCAAGCGUUGUUCGGAUCAUUGGGCGUAAAGGGUGCGUAGGCGGCGCGGUAAGUCGGGGUGUGAAAUCUUGGAGCUUAACUCCGAAACUGCAUUCGAUACUGCCGUGCUUGAGGACUGGAGAGGAGACUGGAAUUUACGGUGUAGCGGUGAAAUGCGUAGAUAUCGUAAGGAAGACCAGUGGCGAAGCGG
rnacentral:rRNA from 1 species